rnacentral:sRNA from 1 species
GUGUUGGCAAAAUCCAACACCGGGAUUAGUACCCCGCAUUAUUUUUCUAUCGGUACACAAGUACCAGCUUUUUGCUGGUUUUUU